rnacentral:rRNA from 1 species
GGGUCAGUAGGUUGGUCGGGCCACCGGUACGUACUGGUCUCACUGAUUCCUCCUUCCUGAAGAACCGUAAUGCCAUUAAUUUGGUGUUGCGGGGAAACAGGACUGUUACUUUGAAAAAAUUAGAGUGUUUAAAGCAAGCUAACGCUUGAAUACAUUAGCAUGGAAUAAUGAAAUAGGACGAUCGAUCCCAUUUUGUUGGUUUCUAGGAUUGACGUAAUGAUUAAUAGGGAUAUUGGG